CAUCUUCAGAGAAGGCCUUGGGAAUACCUGUCAGUCUCUGGGAUGAAGGAUGUAAGCCAGGUGCCUGGCCUUGUGUCCUCAGAAUGUCAAACAGUCUCCAGUAAUCUGGUCAUGUUUGGUUACUUGUGAAGCUGGCCUGGAAAUAAGUUGCUAUCCCAGAAACAAAGGGCUGCAACCAGGUUGCCGGCCACAAAUCCUCUGAAAAUUAAAUAUUCUCCAAAAUGCUAUUCCUGGUUGACUUGUGAAGCUGGCAUGGAAAUAAACUGCUAUCCCAGAAACAAAUGACUUCAACCAGAUGGCUGGCCAUGAAUCCUCUCAAUAUGAAAUAUUCUCCAAAACACUGUUCCUG